rnacentral:rRNA from 1 species
UAAGGAAUAUUGCGCAAUGGGGGAAACCCUGACGCAGCAACGCCGCGUGGAGGAUGACACUUUUCGAAGCGUAAACUCCUUUUAUCAGGAAAGAAUAAUGACGGUACCUGAUGAAUAAGCACCGGCUAACUCCGUGCCAGCAGCCGCGGUAAUACGGGGGGUGCAAGCGUUACUCGGAAUCACUGGGCGUAAAGGACGCGUAGGCGGAUUAUCAAGUCUUUUGUGAAAUCUAGUGGCUUAACCACUAAACUGCUUAGGAAACUGAAAGUCUAGAGUAGGGGAGAGGUAGAUGGAAUUCUUGGUGUAGGGGUAAAAUCCGUAGAGAUCAAGAAGAAUACCCAUUGCGAAAGCGAUCUGCUGGAACCUAACUGACGCUGAGGCGUGAAAGCGUGGGUAGCAAACAGG